ACCCGCUGAACUUAAGCAUAUCAAUAAGCGGAGGAAAAGAAACCAACAGGGAUUGCCUUAGUAACGGCGAGUGAAGCGGCGACAGCUCAAAUUUGAAAUAUGGCCUCUUUGGGGUCCGAGUUGUAAUUUGCAGAGGGCGCUUUAGCGUUGGCAGCGGUCCAAGUUCCUUGGAACAGGACGUCACAGAGGGUGAGAAUCCCGUACGUGGUCGCUAGCCUUCGCCGUGUAAAGCCCCUUCGACGAGUCGAGUUGUUUGGGAAUGCAGCUCUAAAUGGGAGGUAAAUUUCUUCUAAAGCUAAAUACUGGCCAGAGACCGAUAGCGCACAAGUAGAGUGAUCGAAAGAUAAAAAGCACUUUAGAAAGAGAGUCAAACAGCACGUGAAAUUGUUAAAAGGGAAGCGCUUGCAGCCAGACUUGCCUGUAGUUGCUUAUCCAGGCUUUUGCCCGGUGCACUCUUCUGCGGGCAGGCCAGCAUCAGUUUGGGCGGUUGGAUAAAGGUCUCUGUCAUGUACCUCUCUUCGGGGAGGCCUUAUAGGGGAGACGACAUGCAACCAGCCCAGACUGAGGUCCGCGCAUUUGCUAGGAUGCUGGCGUAAUGGCUGU
rnacentral:rRNA from 1 species